GACAUUGUCUGCCUAUGUGUCUUGACCAAAUUACGUGCCAGCAGUCGCGGUAAUACGUAGAAGACUANUGUUAUUCAUGUUUAAUCGGUUUAAAGGGUACCUAGACGGCAAAUCAAGCCUAAGUUUAAGUUAAAUGAAGGGACUAAUUUGCUAGAGUUACUUAUGAGGGGGUAUUAAAGUACUGCUGGUGUAGAGAUGAAAUUCUGUCAUACCUCUUUUCAAUAGAAAAAUAAUGGCACAGGUAUAGGCGAAAGCAUCCCCUUAUGUGAUAACUGACGUUGAGGGACGAAGGCUUUUUGUAGCGAACAGGAUUAGAUACCCUAGUAGUCAAAGCAGAAAAUGAUGAAUGUCAUAGAUUAGAUAUACAAGUUUAUUCUAUAAAUGAAAGUGUAAGCAUUCCACCUCAAGAGUAAUUUGGCAACAUUGGAACUGAAAUCAUUAGACCGUUUCUGAAACCAGUAGUGAAGUAUGUUGUUUAAUUUGAUGACCCGCAAAAAACCUUACCACAAUUUGAAUAUUUAUAUUUUUUUUUAUUGUUUUCUUAUUAAUUUUCUUCUAAUAACAACAAACAAAAAAAAAGGAAAAAAAUUAAUAAAGAGGCAAUAAUAUAUAUUUACAAGCGUUGCACGGCUGUCUUCAGUUAAUGUCGCGAGACUUUGGUUAGUUCCAUUAAAUUAACGUAAACCCUUACUUUAUUUUUAUAUAAAGUAGUUCUCCACUAUAUUGAUAAGAUAACAGGACUAGGACAAGUCAUCAUGCCUAAUAUGU
rnacentral:rRNA from 1 species